rnacentral:rRNA from 1 species
CCUACGGGUGGCAGCAGUGAGGAAUAUUGGUCAAUGGGCGAGAGCCUGAACCAGCCAAGUCGCGUGAAGGAUGACGGACCUAUGGUUUGUAAACCUCUUUUAUAUGGGAAUAAAGUGCGGAACGUGUUCCUUUUUGUAUGUCCCAUAUGAAUAAGCAUCGGCUAACUCCGUGCCAACAGCCGCGGUAAUACGGAGGAUGCGAGCGUUAUCCGGAUUUAUUGGGUUUAAAGGUGGCGUAGGUGGUUAAUUAAUUAAGCGGGGAAAGUUUGUGGUUCAACCAUAAAAUUGCCGUUGAAACUGGUUGACUUGAGUAUAUGUGAGGUAGGCGGAAUGCGUGGUGUAGCGGUGAAAUGCAUAGAUAUCACGCAGAACUCCGAUUGCGAAGGCAGCAUAC